UACGUAGGGUGCAAGCGUUGUCCGGAAUUAUUGGGCGUAAAGAGCUCGUAGGCGGUCUGUCGCGUCGGCUGUGAAAACCCGCGGCUCAACCUCGGGCCUGCGUCCGAUACUGGCAGGCUUGAAUCCGGGAGAGGGAUGUGGAAUUCCAGGUGUAGCGGUGAAAUGCGUAGAUAUCUGGAGGAACACCGGUGGCGAAGGCGGCAUCCUGGACCGGUAUUGACGCUGAUGCGCGAAAGCCAGGGGAGCAAACGGG
rnacentral:rRNA from 1 species